AACUCAUGUUAUGGACACUUCCGCAAGAGGUCCUUAAAUCGCUCCCAAGUCUUAAACAAGGAUUUAGGUUCCAUCUAAAGAAAUGAAGAUAUCUCAUUGCGAAGCU